rnacentral:rRNA from 1 species
CAGUAGGGAAUCUUCCACAAUGGGCGAAAGCCUGAUGGAGCAACGCCGCGUGUGUGAUGAAGGGUUUCGGCUCGUAAAACACUGUUGUAAGAGAAGAAUGACGUUGAGAGUAACUGUUCAAUGUGUGACGGUAUCUUACCAGAAAGGAACGGCUAAAUACGUGCUAG